rnacentral:rRNA from 1 species
GAUGAACGCUGGCGGCGUGCCUAAUACAUGCAAGUCGAACGAUGAACCGGGUGCUUGCACUCGGGGAUUAGUGGCGAACGGGUGAGUAACACGUGAGCAACCUGCCCCUGACUCUGGGAUAAGCGCUGGAAACGGCGUCUAAUACUGGAUAUGUCCCGUCACCGCAUGGUGUGCGGGUGGAAAGAUUUUUCGGUUGGGGAUGGGCUCGCGGCCUAUCAGCUUGUUGGUGAGGUAAUGGCUCACCAAGGCGUCGACGGGUAGCCGGCCUGAGAGGGUGACCGGCCACACUGGGACUGAGACACGGCCCAGACUCCUACGGGAGGCAGCAACCGGGAAUAUUGCGCAAUGGACGAAAGUCUGACGCAGCGACACCGCGUGGAGGAUGAAGGCCUUCGGGUUGUAAACUCCUUUUGCCAAGAAAUACUAAAGAAGGUACUUGGAGAAUAAGCACCUGCAAACUACGUGCCAGCAGCCGCAGUAA